rnacentral:rRNA from 1 species
UGCUUAACACAUGCAAGUCGAACGAGGUUCUUCGGAACCUAGUGGCGGACGGGUGAGUAACACGUGAGAAUCUGGCUUCAGGACGGGGACAACAAGGGGAAACCCUUGCUAAUACCGGAUAUGCCGAAAGGUGAAAGAUUUAUCGCCUGAAGAUGAGCUCGCGACUGAUUAGCUAGUUGGAGGGGUAAGAGCCCACCAAGGCAACGAUCAGUAGCUGGUCUGAGAGGAUGAUCAGCCACACUGGGACUGAGACACGGCCCAGACUCCUACGGGAGGCAGCAGUGGGGAAUUUUCCGCAAUGGGCGCAAGCCUGACGGAGCAAUAUCGCGUGCGGGAGGAAGGCCCUUGGGUCGUAAACCGCUUUUGUUAGGGAAGAAAAUUUGACGGUACCUAACGAAUAAGCCUCGGCUAACUCCGUGCCAGCAGCCGCAGUAAGACGGAGGAGGCAAGCGUUAUCCGGAAUUAUUGGGCGUAAAGCGUCCGCAGGUGGCAUCUCAAGUCUGCUGUCAAAGCCCAGGGCUCAACUCUGGAUCGGCAGUGGAAACUGACACCCUAGAUUACGGUAGGGGCAGAUGGAAUUCCCAGUGUAGCGGUGAAAUGCGUAUGUAUUGGGAAGAACACCAGUAGCGACAGCGCUCUGCUGGGCCGUAACUGACACUCAUGGACGAAAGCUAUGGAGCGAAAGGGAUUGAUACCCCUGUAGUCCUAG